GGAUGCUUAGCUCAGCUGGUAGAGCAUCGCCCUUACAAGGCGAGGGUCGGGGGUUCGAGCCCCUCAGCAUCCACCA
rnacentral:tRNA from 1 species